rnacentral:rRNA from 1 species
AGCAGCCGCGGUAAUUCCAGCUCCAAUAGCGUAUAUUAAAGUUGUUGCAGUUAAAAGCUGUAGUUUGAAAUUUUUUGGAUCAGGUAACGCUUGUCAAGUGCAUUGGCUAGUCGAUGGCUUCGAUUUGGUCCAUUUUGGCUUUGGAUUUGCUCCCAUUUCCUUUGGGAAUGGAACCUGAUGAUCGUUUCAUUGGAAUUUUUCGGUUGCCCUU